rnacentral:rRNA from 1 species
CCUACGGGAGGCUGCAGUGGGGAAUAUUGGACAAUGGGGGCAACCCUGAUCCAGCCAUGCCGCGUGUGUGAAGAAGGCCCUCGGGUUGUAAAGCACUUUCAGUGAGGAAGAACGCCUGGUGGUUAAUACCCAUCAGGAAAGACAUCACUCACAGAAGAAGCACCGGCUAACUCCGUGCCAGCAGCCGCGGUAAUACGUAGGGUGCGAGCGUUAAUCGGAAUUACUGGGCGUAAAGCGCGCGUAGGUGGCUUGAUAAGCCGGUUGUGAAAGCCCCGGGCUCAACCUGGGAACGGCAUCCGGAACUGUCAAGCUAGAGUGCAGGAGAGGAAGGUAGAAUUCCCGGUGUAGCGGUGAAAUGCGUAGAGAUCGGGAGGAAUACCAGUGGCGAAGGCGGCCUUCUGGACUGAAACUGACACUGAGGUGCGAAAGCGUGGGUAGCAAACAGGAUUAGAUACCCUGGUAGUC